rnacentral:rRNA from 1 species
UACGUAGGGUGCGAGCGUUAAUCGGAAUUACUGGGCGUAAAGCGUGCGCAGGCGGUGAUGUAAGACAGAUGUGAAAUCCCCGGGCUCAACCUGGGUACUGCAUUUGUGACUGCAUCGCUGGAGUGCGGCAGAGGGGGAUGGAAUUCCGCGUGUAGCAGUGAAAUGCGUAGAUAUGCGGAGGAACACCGAUGGCGAAGGCAAUCCCCUGGGCCUGCACUGACGCUCAUGCACGAAAGCGUGGGGAGCAAACAGG